rnacentral:lncRNA from 1 species
CAACUUCCUCCAUCAAUGGCAAAACGACAUACCUUGUCUUUAAUGGUGCAAGUAGACUGAAAGAUAUUAGUUAUGAGCCAAUCCUCAUCUUCAGAACUCGCUUUGGGAGUUAAGCAAGAAUGCCUAACAACAAGAGCAGUCCCUACAUCUCCUUUUAACAACAAUUCAUCGAUUGUUUUGUCCUCAUCAUACACAGGUUGACCCUCAAUAUCUCGUUCCUCCACAACAUAGUCGUCUGCUUCAAGGAAGAGGGCCUACUUACCCGCUGUCUUCUUACAUUCAGAAAGCCUAUAGCCAACCUCU